UACGGAGGGUGCAAGCGUUAAUCGGAAUUACUGGGCGUAAAGCGCACGCAGGUGGCUGAGUCAGUCGAUUGUGAAAGCCCUGGGCUUAACCUGGGAAUUGCAGUCGAUACUACUCAGCUAGAGUAUGGGAGAGGGCAGUGGAAUUCCCGGUGUAGCGGUGAAAUGCGUAGAUAUCGGGAGGAACAUCAGUGGCGAAGGCGACUACCUGGCCUGUUCUUGACGCUGAGGCGCGAAAGCUAGGGGAGCAAACGGG
rnacentral:rRNA from 1 species